UACAGAGGGGGCGAGCGUUGUUCGGAAUUACUGGGCGUAAAGGGCGCGUAGGCGGCCUCUUAAGUCGGACGUGAAAUCCCCGGGCUCAACCCGGGAACUGCGUCCGAUACUGGGAGGCUUGAAUCCGGGAGAGGGAUGUGGAAUUCCAGGUGUAGCGGUGAAAUGCGUAGAUAUCUGGAGGAACACCGGUGGCGAAGGCGGCAUCCUGGACCGGUAUUGACGCUGAGGCGCGAAAGCCAGGGGAGCAAACGGG
rnacentral:rRNA from 1 species